rnacentral:rRNA from 1 species
GACGAACGCUGGCGGCGUGCUUAACACAUGCAAGUCGAACGGAAAGGCCCUGCUUUUGUGGGGUGCUCGAGUGGCGAACGGGUGAGUAACACGUGAGUAACCUGCCCUUGACUUUGGGAUAACUUCAGGAAACUGGGGCUAAUACCGGAUAGGAGCUCCUGCUGCAUGGUGGGUGUUGGAAAGUUUCGGUGGCUGGGGAUGGACGCGGGGCUGAUCAGCUUGUUGGUGGGGUAGUGGCUUACCAAGGCUAUGACGGGUAGCCGGCCUGGGAGGGUGACAGGGCACAUAGGGACUGAGGUACGGCCCAGACGGCAACGGGAGGCAUGGGUGGGAAAUAGUGCGCAAUGGGCCGAAGGCGGAAGGAGGGACUUCGGGUGGGAGAUGACGGUCGUCGGGGAGUAAACCGCGUUCGAGUGUAACGAAGAGUGUGUGACGGUAACGGAUAAAAAAGCAACGGCUAACUACGUG